rnacentral:rRNA from 1 species
UACGUAGGGUGCAAGCGUUAAUCGGAAUUACUGGGCGUAAAGCGUGCGCAGGCGGUUGUGCAAGACAGGUGUGAAAUCCCCGGGCUCAACCUGGGAAUUGCAUUUGUGACUGCACGGCUAGAGUGUGUCAGAGGGGGGUAGAAUUCCACGUGUAGCAGUGAAAUGCGUAGAGAUGUGGAGGAAUACCAAUGGCGAAGGCAGCCCCCUGGGAUAACACUGACGCUCAUGCACGAAAGCGUGGGGAGCAAACAGG